UGCCCCGAGACGUAUAAAAUCUUCCACAAUGGACGAAAGUCUGAUGGAGCAACGCCGCGUGAGUGAUGAAGGUUUUCGGAUCGUAAAACUCUGUUGUUAAAGAAGAACAAGUGUUAGAGUAACUGUUAACACUUUGACGGUAUUUAACCAGAAAGCCACGGCUAACUACGUGCCAGCAGCCGCGGUAAUACGUAGGUGGCAAGCGUUGUCCGGAUUUAUUGGGCGUAAAGCGAGCGCAGGCGGUUUUGUAAGUCUGCUGUGAAAGCCCUCAGCUCAACUGAGGAAGUGCAGUGGAAACUACAAAACUUGAGUACAGAAGAGGAAAGUGGAACUCCAUGUGUAGCGGUGAAAUGCGUAGAUAUAUGGAAGAACACCAGUGGCGAAGGCGGCUUUCUGGUCUGUUACUGACGCUGAGGCUCGAAAGCAUGGGUAGCGAACAGGAUUAGAUACCCUGGUAGUCCAUGCCGUAAACGAUGAAUACUAGGUGUUGGAGGGUUUCCGCCCUUCAGUGCCGCAGCUAACGCAUUAAGUAUUCCGCCUGGGGAGUACGACCGCAAGGUUGAAACUCAAAGGAAUUGACGGGGGCCCGCACAAGUGGUGGAGCAUGUGGUUUAAUUCGAUGCUACGCGAAGAACCUUACCAGCUCUUGACAUCUUCUGCCAACCCAAGAGAUUGGGCGUUCCCUUCGGGGACAGAAUGACAGGUGGUGCAUGGUGUCUCCCUUCUUAUU
rnacentral:rRNA from 2 species